rnacentral:tRNA from 1 species
CAUUAGAUGACUGAAGUGGUAAGUGUAGGCCUUUUAAUCCUAUUAUGGCGCUCCGCACGCCUCUAAUGA